GAGCGGAUGAGAGGAGCUUGCUCCUGGAUUCAGCGGCGGACGGGUGAGUAAUGCCUAGGAAUCUGCCUGGUAGUGGGGGACAACGUUUCGAAAGGAACGCUAAUACCGCAUACGUCCUACGGGAGAAAGCAGGGGACCUUCGGGCCUUGCGCUAUCAGAUGAGCCUAGGUCGGAUUAGCUAGUUGGUGAGGUAAUGGCUCACCAAGGCGACGAUCCGUAACUGGUCUGAGAGGAUGAUCAGUCACACUGGAACUGAGACACGGUCCAGACUCCUACGGGAGGCAGCAGUGGGGAAUAUUGGACAAUGGGCGAAAGCCUGAUCCAGCCAUGCCGCGUGUGUGAAGAAGGUCUUCGGAUUGUAAAGCACUUUAAGUUGGGAGGAAGGGUUGUAGAUUAAUACUCUGCAAUUUUGACGUUACCGACAGAAUAAGCACCGGCUAACUCUGUGCCAGCAGCCGCGGUAAUACAGAGGGUGCAAGCGUUAAUCGGAAUUACUGGGCGUAAAGCGCGCGUAGGUGGUUCGUUAAGUUGGAUGUGAAAUCCCCGGGCUCAACCUGGGAACUGCAUUCAAAACUGUCGAGCUAGAGUAUGGUAGAGGGUGGUGGAAUUUCCUGUGUGGCGGUGAAAUGCGUAGAUAUAGGAAGGAACACCAGUGGCGAAGGCGACCACCUGGACUGAUACUGACACUGAGGUGCGAAAGCGUGGGGGGCAAACAGGAUUAGAUACCCUGGUAGUCCACGCCGUAAACGAUGUCAACUAGCCGUUGGGAGCCUUGAGCUCUUAGUGGCGCAGCUAACGCAUUAAGUUGACCGCCUGGGGAGUACGGCCGCAAGGUUAAAACUCAAAUGAAUUGACGGGGGCCCGCACAAGCGGUGGAGCAUGUGGUUUAAUUCGAAGCAACGCGAAGAACCUUACCAGGCCUUGACAUCCAAUGAACUUUCCAGAGAUGGAUUGGUGCCUUCGGGAGCAUUGAGACAGGUGCUGCAUGGCUGUCGUCAGCUCGUGUCGUGAGAUGUU
rnacentral:rRNA from 1 species